GAAAGAGAUAUGCUAAGACUUUCUUUGACGAAGGAAUGGAAAGAUUGAUAAUAAAGUGUUCCCAUGAAUAAAAAAUAGUAACUCUUGAUGGACACAGAGGUGUUAAUGCUUAAAAUUGAAGAGGAGUUUUCGAUUUUAGAGGCACAAACGACUUGUGCUGUUGAAGAUUUGAAGUUUGCAGAGGGAAGCUUGGAAUCUUGAUUGUUUAUUUGGCCAUUUGUGAGUGUUUUUUGUUCAAGAUGACGAACUUGAGGUAUUUGAGAUAAUAAGACAGUAUUGAAAGAAUCUGAUGCACUCCCGACAAUGAGGUACUUUCGGUUUUGUUUUUUUUUUUUUGGUUUUAUGAGGUACUAUGGAAAUUCA